rnacentral:rRNA from 1 species
GAUGAACGCUGGCGGCGUGCCUAAUACAUGCAAGUCGAGCGAACAGACGAGGAGCUUGCUCCUCUGACGUUAGCGGCGGACGGGUGAGUAACACGUGGAUAACCUACCUAUAAGACUGGGAUAACUUCGGGAAACCGGAGCUAAUACCGGAUAACAUGUUGAACCGCAUGGUUCAACAGUGAAAGACGGUCUUGCUGUCACUUAUAGAUGGAUCCGCGCCGCAUUAGCUAGUUGGUAAGGUAACGGCUUACCAAGGCAACGAUGCGUAGCCGACCUGAGAGGGUGAUCGGCCACACUGGAACUGAGACACGGUCCAGACUCCUACGGGAGGCCGCAGUAGGGAAUCUUCCGCAAUGGGCGAAAGCCUGACGGAGCAACGCCGCGUGAGUGAAGAAGGUCUUCGGAUCGUAAAACUCUGUUAUUAGGGAAGAACAAAUGUGUAAGUAACUAUGCACGUCUUGACGGUACCUAAUCAGAAAGCCACGGCUAACUACGUG